UUAUCAAAAACUUCCACUAUCGGUCUACCCAAGCUGUGCCACUAAGCCCCAUUUAAUGUGGACUGUUGGUUGUAAUCAUCCAUUUGGAAUCCACCACAUUUGCUAGCAUCAUCUGAUAAGGGAGAUGGUCCAUCCCAUGAUAGAGCCCCAUCUGAUCAAUGGUUUAGGUUACUAAAAGGCAGGCCACACUUAUACCAUUGGUGGGUAGAACAUGACAUGAUGUUUCUUCUGUUGAUCAUCCUAUAAUGCCUAUUUGUAUUUGUGUGUAUAUAAUUUUAUUCUGCUUUAAUGGUAACAUGUGAUGGAAAAGGAGCUGUUGUGUUGCUUGGAUUGCCACUAAAAUCUUCUGUUGUUAAUUGAGCUAUUAGGCGUAUCUCUGUUGGUAGCUGGCAAUGGUUCCGUCGCAGCCUAAUAGUGGGUUGUUUGUUGGGUUGAAUAAAGGGCAUGUCGUCACAAAAAAGGAAUUGGCUCCUCGCCCUUCUGCCAGAGAAGGGGUAUGUAACGUAAAAGCAAUGUACAUCAUGUUGUGGCAGGUUGGCAGCAAUUCCUUGCUGAGAGUUUGUUGAUCGAUUUUUCUAGAAAUGGAAAUGAAAGCUUUUAUAUCUGAGGAGAAUAUUUCUGAAUCUAAAAGCAUGUUCUGUUACUAUUAAAAAGGCUUAAGGAAAGAGGAAAAAGCCCAUUUCACUCUGGAAAAUGGCAGAGUUAACAUGAACAACAUAUUCUUGGUACAGAAAGAGGCCGGUUGUUCAUUCUAAGUCCUUAUAGAGUAAAUUUAUUUUACAACUGAAUGACCUGCAAAUGAUGCAGUUGCAAUCCUACUUCCUUCUAAUAUUACUAUAUUUACUCUUGAUUUUUCUGGAUCGGGCUUAUCUGGUGGAGAUUAUGUUAGCCUUGGUUGGCAUGAUGUAUGAUGGCCCUUGUGAUUUCUUUAAUGAUUCUCCAGUUUCAAUGCUCAAUUGAUUUUCUUUAGUGUUUAUUCUUGUUGUUUGUCUGCCUGUCAGAAAGAUGAUUUGAAUACAGUGGUUUCUUUUCUAUGGAGCAACCAGCAAAUUUCAUGCAUAGGGCUUUGGGGAUGAUCAAUGGGUGCCAUCAUGAGGUGGUUAUACAUCAUCCUCUAUUCCAUGAUUUCUUACACUGCUAAACUCAUGAGGCAUGCUUAAUUAGUUUUACAAUGAAGACGACCAUUCCAGUUGUAAAAAAUAUGUAUUUGUAUCAUAUUAUGAGAUGGUGAAGUAAGGAAUUCCCACAUUGGCUUAGCAUCGAUAUAAUGUAAUAGUAAGAAGUGAUCCCUUGUUGCUUCACUACUUGAGAAAGACAAGGAACUUCAAUUUCUCUCUGACUGGUCCAAUUCCUCCUACUUUGGGUAAUGUGACCAUGCUCAAAAUUUUGUAUUUUUCUAUAAAUCAGAUUUCAGGUACAAUUCCUACAGAAUUAGGGAAUCUUAAGAAUUUGGUUGAGUUGACGUUGCAACGAAACAAUCUGACUGGUCUGAUUCCUCAUGCUUCGAGUAAUUUGAGAAACCUUGCAUUGUUGUUGGUUCGAUUCCUCCUACAGUUAUUCUACUUUUGAAGUUCUCCCACAUGCUCCAACAUUGAUGACUGAUGUGUUCGGCAAUUAUGUUAUUCAAAAGGUAUGAUUUUUCUGUAAAAACAAUCAUCGGUUUCCUUCCAUUCUUUUUCUUUUUUGUUUCUUUUUUUUUUUCCUAGGUAAAGAUACCUUCUAUUCUUUUUCCCCUAUUCAUCUGCCCUCU